rnacentral:rRNA from 1 species
AACGUAGGAGACAAACGUUAUCCGGAGUUACUGGGCGUAAAGGGCGCGUAGGCGGUGUGUCAAGUCAGGCGUGAAAGCCCCGGGCUCAACCUGGGAACCGCGCUUGAGACUGGCACGCUCGAGUUCGGGAGAGGAUGGUGGAAUUCCCAGUGUAGAGGUGAAAUGCGCAGAUAUCAGGAGGAACACCAAUGGCGAAGGCAGCUCGCUGGGACGGUACUGACGCUGAGGCGCGAAAGCGUGGGGAGCAAACAGG